GAAUGGUUAUUUUAUCACAUCUAAGUAUAUGUGACUUGCUUUUAAGUAAGUGGAUAUGAAUGUGUGUUUGCUUUUUUGUUUCUUAGGAAGAGUUCGAUAUAUAUGUGACUGGCUCAUGGAAUUUUGUUAUUUGGUGCCAUACUGCAUUGGGAUAUGAAUCUUCUUGCAAUCAAAUAAUUGUCGAAGUACUGCGGUUUUCCAAAAUAUGGACAGCUUUGUCAUACACAUGGGAUAAUGCUGGGCACUUCAUUCAAGUAAGACGCUAUAGACCUACAUUGCCGCAAAUCAACAAUGAAUGGUUCAACUGGAGUCGACAACUUCAUGAGUUUUCUUUCAAAGAACAUUUCCAGAGACGAACAUUCUCGGUUGGUCGUUUAUGCUUCUGCAGUAAAUCUUGUUAGAUGUAUUCUAAUGCUAUUUAAAAUAUUUUUUGAUUAAGGGCUAGGAUUCCGUACAUGUGGAUUAUUGAAACUUGUAUUGAGAUGUACAAAUAUUAUAAAUCGUAUUAUAGUGUAUAUAUAUUAAAGUGUUGGUUAUUUUUUUGUA